rnacentral:rRNA from 1 species
UACGGAGGGAGCUAGCGUUGUUCGGAAUUAUUGGGCGUAAAGAGCUCGUAGGCGGUCUGUCGCGUCGGCUGUGAAAACUCGGGGCUCAACCCCGAGCCUGCAGUCGAUACGGGCAGACUAGAGUGCUGUAGGGGAGACUGGAAUUCCUGGUGUAGCGGUGAAAUGCGCAGAUAUCAGGAGGAACACCGGUGGCGAAGGCGGGUCUCUGGGCAGUAACUGACGCUGAGGAGCGAAAGAGUGGGGAGCGAACAGG